rnacentral:lncRNA from 1 species
AUAAUUGUCGUUAUUUUUUAAUAACUCAGAUCAAAAUUCAAUAAAGACGUUCUAUAAUGUAGUUUUCAUCAACUGAAAAUUCUUAUCUUCAUGAGCUUCAAAAAUUCAAAAUAAAUCAUCACUGGUGUUAUAGGUAUUGAAUCAAAAAAUUAUUUUCUUAUAUGAAUUUUAGCAACUUAAAAGAUCCAAUAUUAUUUGUUAUCAUUUUUAUGUCUUUAAUCGUUUUUUCAUCAAUUUUUUCAGCAAAUAGUUUUUUGAAUAUUUCGUAUAUGAAUUUAAAAAAGCAAACGUGACUGUACUAUUUCAUCAAAUUAGAUGAAAAUCAAAUCGAUUGAGUUAUUUUUUGGUCAAAUUCGAUUUUAUUACGUUAAAUAGUAACUUAUAAGUUUUUUUCGAAUUUCAUCGAAUUGUAUAGUCGAUUAGUGUUUUUGUAUAUUCGAAAUAGUGAAAUUGUAAUCUUUUGAUUUUUUUUGUAUAUAUUGUUUGCUUUUGUAUAUGUUGAUUAUGUUUGUAUAUUUAUAACUUUGUUUGUAUAUCCUAAUGUGUAAAUGUAUAUUAUCAUUCAUUUAUUAUAAUUUAUUUGUAUAUUUUCUAUGAAUUUGCAUAUUUUAGAAAUAAAUUGUAUAUUAUAUUAGCAUUUGUAUAAUUAAAAUUGUGUUAUAUAUUUUAAUUGCAGUUUUGAAUUAAUGCUUAUAUUUGUAAUCAAAAUUAUUGUAUUUGUAAUUUGAAAUUUUUUAUAACAUUUUUAUAUGAAAGGAUUGGCAAUGGGAAUCAUCCAUGUUCUUGUGAAGUACUCUGGGAGAUGGACAUAUGAACAAACAUUGUGAAGAAUGCAUCACUAACGCUAUGUUGUUGAGCACAAAUGUAUCAUACAAUCAACUAUACAAUCUUCUGACAUCUCAUAUUAAUGUGAAUUUGAAUAGCAAAAGUAUUUAAAUUGAAUAUCAAAUAACCAGUAGAGCAGGGCAAACACGUAUGCAUAAUGACAUGGGUUUAAAGGUGUAUUCAUAUCUUUGUUUGAAAAAUACACGUGUAGUUGCCUAUAUGUAUUAACAAAGGCAAUGACCAAUAUAAUUUUAUAUGUACUUUUUGUAUGUAUUUGAUAAAUAUGUAGUUAAUACACGUGGUUACCUAUAUGUAUUUGCUAAAAAUGUGAUAAAUUCUUAAAUAACAAUCUAGUUGAAUGUAUGUAUUUACAAACUUUGUUUAAAAACACAUAUACAGAUGGCUUUAUAUAUUUCUACCUUUGCUUGAAAGAUACAUAUAUAGAUGCCUAUUUGUAUUAGUAAUUACAAUUAACUACUUAAUUUUAUUUGUAUUCGCUAAAUAUGCGAUUAAUACAUGUGGUUACCU